rnacentral:ribozyme from 1 species
AGAGAGAAAGAGAAAGAAAUCAGAUUACAGAAAGUGGUUUUAUAGGCUCCUCAAUAAUGCCUUCUUCUCUCUCUCAUUCGCCAUCUCUCUCUCUCUCUCAUUCACCAUCUCUCUCUCACGCUUAUUCAGGUGCUAUAAGUGUACAAUCUGCCUCUUCCACAUCACAUUAUAUAUCUAUGAAUGAUAGUAUAUCUACUAGUAUUAAUAAAGACAAUGAAAUAGAGAAAGAAAGAGAGA